rnacentral:rRNA from 1 species
GGGGGAUAUUGCACAAUGGGGGAAACCCUGAUGCAGCGACGCCGCGUGGAGGAAGAAGGUUUUCGGAUUGUAAACUAUUGUCGUUAGGGAAGAUACAAGACAGUACCUAAGGAGGAAGCUCCGGCUAACUACGUGCCAGCAGCCGCGGUAAUACGUAGGGAGCAAGCGUUAUCCGGAUUUAUUGGGUGUAAAGGGUGCGUAGACGGGACAACAAGUUAGUUGUGAAAUCCCUCGGCUUAACUGAGGAACUGCAACUAAAACUAUUGUUCUUGAGUGUUGGAGAGGAAAGUGGAAUUCCUAGUGUAGCGGUGAAAUGCGUAGAUAUUAGGAGGAACACCGGUGGCGAAGGCGACUUUCUGGACAAUAACUGACGUUGAGGCACGAAAGUGUGGGGAGCAAACAGGAUUAGAUACCCUGGUAGUCCACACCGUAAACGAUGGAUACUAGGUGUAGGAAAUGAUUUCAUUUUCUGUGCCGUCGCAAACGCAAUAAGUAUCCCACCUGGGGAGUACGGCCGCAAGGUUGAAACUCAAAGGAAUUGACGGGGGCCCGCACAAGCAGUGGAGUAUGUGGUUUAAUUCGAAGCAACGCGAAGAACCUUACCAGGGCUUGACAUAUAGAUGAAUAACUAAGAGAUUAGUUAGUCCUUCGGGACAUCUAUACAGGUGGUGCAUGGUUGUCGUCAGCUCGUGUCGUGAGAUGUUAGGUUAAGUCCUGCAACGAGCGCAACCCCUGUGAUUAGUUGCCAACAGGUUAAGCUGGGAACUCUAAUCAGACUGCCGGUGAUAAAUCGGAGGAAGGUGGGGAUGACGUCAAAUCAUCAUGCCCUUUAUGUCCUGGGCUACACACGUACUACAAUGGCUGUAACAGAGAGAAGCAACACCGCGAGGUAGAGCGAAACUCCAAAAGCAGUCUCAGUUCGGAUUGAAGGCUGAAAUUCGCCUUCAUGAAGCCGGAAUUGCUAGUAAUGGCAGGUCAGCAUACUGCCGUGAAUACGUUCCCG